GACGAACGCUGGCGGCGUGCUUAACACAUGCAAGUCGAACGGAAAGGCCCUGCUUUUGUGGGGUUCUCGAUUGGCGAACGGGUGAGUAACACGUGUGUAACCUGCCCUUGUCUUUGGUAUAACUUCACGUAACUGGGGCUAAUAUCGUAUAGCAUCUCCUGCUGCAUUGUGGGCGUUGGAUAUUUUCGGCGGUUGGGGAUGGAUGCGCGGCUUAUCAGCUUGUUUGUUGGGUUGUGGCUUACCAAGGCUUUGACGGGUAGCCGGCAUGAGAGGGUGAACGGCGACAUUGGGACUGAGAUACGGCACAGACGGGUACGGGAGGAAGAAGGGGGGAAUAUUGAACAAUGGGAGGAAGGCUGAUGAAGAAACGCGGCGGGCGGGAUGACGGCCUUGGGGUUAUAAAAAGGUAUCACCUGUGAAGAAGCGUGAGUGACGGUAAUGGGUAAAGAAGCAACGGCUAACUACGUG
rnacentral:rRNA from 1 species